rnacentral:rRNA from 1 species
AACGAACGCUGGCGGCAUGCCUAACACAUGCAAGUCGAACGAGACCUUCGGGUCUAGUGGCGCACGUGUGCGUAACGCGUGGGAACCUGCCCUUAGGUUCGGAAUAACUCCCCGAAAGGGGUGCUAAUACCGGAUAAUGUCUUCGGACCAAAGAUUUAUCGCCUUUUGAUGGGCCCGCGUUGGAUUAGCUAGUUGGUAGGGUAAAAGCCUACCAAGGCGACGAUCCAUAGCUGGUCUGAGAGGAUGAUCAGCCACACUGGGACUGAGACACGGCCCAGACUCCGACGGGAGGCAGCAGUGGGGAAUAUUGGACAAUGGGCGAAAGCCUGAUCCAGCAAUGCCGCGUGAGUGAUGAAGGCCUUAGGGUUGUAAAGCUCUUUUACCCGGGAUGAUAAUGACAGUACCGGGAGAAUAAGCUCCGGCUAACUCCGUG